GCAGGAGGUAUGAAGAAGGCUGGGGGACCUCCCUUUUACUAUAUGCUUCUUUGUAAUGUUUGAGUCUUUUUCAUAAGAAGCCUAUCUUAUCCUUGUAAUAAAGUUAAUUUUUAAAAAGAUAAAGCAAAAAAAAAAUUCCUAAGAUAAUGAGGAAGGAAUAAAAAACAUUCUGUGCUCGUUUUUAGAUCACUUUCACAGUCACCCUGAUACUACGUAUCCAUAAAAGAUUUUCUGAACUUAACAAAUAUCUGUUCACUCCUUAUAUGCUACAGUGUGUGGGAUCUCAGCUUUAAAGAAAUGCUUUAGGCGCUCCCCCUCCUGAGAGUGGGUAAAUAUGUAAACAAGAUGUCUCUUGGAGUUCCCAUUCCUGGCACAGUGGUUAACGAAUCUGACUGGGAACCAUAAGGUUGCGGGUUUGAUCCCUGACCUUGCUCAGUGGGUUAAGGAUCCCGCGUUGCUGUGGCUGUGGUGUAGGCAGGUGGCUACAGCUCCUAUUAGACCCCUAGCCUGAGAACCCCCAUGUGCCGCGGGAGCAGCCCUAGAAAAGGCAAAAAGACAUAAAAGGCAAAAAGACAUGUCUUUACAGGGUGAUUCUUCAGGAUCCUAAAGAUCUUGUCCAUCAUGUUAAGGAGUGUGGACUUGUCCCUAAAGGCAAUGGGAAACCACUGCGUAGCUUUAGUUUUUAAUUUUUUUAUUUUAUUUUUAAAAUUGAAGUAGAGUUGCUUUUCAGGUGUGUGUGUGUGUGUGUAUAUAUAUAUAUACAUAUAUAUAUGUGUAUGUAUUUUUUUCAUUCUUUUCUGUUACAGGUGAUAACAAGCUAUUGAAUACAGUUCCCUGUGUGUGAUAUAGAGUAGGUUCUUGUUGUUUAUCUGUUUCAUUGCGGUAGUCUGUACCUGUUAAUCCCCAGUUCAUCCCUCCCCCUGUUUCCCCUUUGGGAAAGUUUGUUUUCUAUGUUUGUGAGUCUAUUUGUGUGUUGUAAAUAAGUUCAUUUGCAUAAUAUUUUACAUUCCACGUAUAAGUGAUAUAUUUGUCUUUCUUGAUCUGACUUAUGUCACCUAGUAUCCUAGCACCUAGGUCCAUCCAUGCUGCUGCAGUUGUCAUUAUCUCAUUCUUUUUUAUGGCUGAGUAAUAUUCCUGUGUGGAAUAUCCAUUCAUUUUUUGAUGAACAUUGACUUUGUUUCCAUGUCUUGGCUGUUGUAAAUAGCGCUGCUGUGAAUAUUGGGGUGCAUGUAUCUUUUCGAGUUGGCGUUUUCUCUGAAUAUAUGCCCAGGAGUGGGAUUGCUGGGUCAUAUGGUAACUCUGGUUUUUUGAGGAACCUCCAUACUGUUCUCCAUAAUGGCUGUACCAGUUUACAUUCCUACCCACAGUGUGGAAGGGCUCACUUUUCUCCACAUCCUCUCCGCUAUUUGUUAUUUAUAUACUUUAAGGUGAUGACCAUUCUGGCUGGUGUGAGAUGAUACCUCAUUGUAGUUUUGACUUUCAUUUCUCUAAUAAUUAGCAGUGUUGAGCAUCUUUUCGUGUGCCUGUUGUUCAUCUGUAUGUCUUCUUCUAAGAAAUGUCUGUUUAGGUUUUCUGCCCAUAUUUUGAUUAGAUUUUUUGUCUUUCUGAUAUUGAGCUGUAUGAGUUUGUAUAUUUUGGAAAUUAAUCCCUUGUUGGUCGCAUCAUUUGCAAGUAUUUUCUCUGAUUCUGUAGGUUGUCUUUUUACUUUGUUUAUGGCUUCCUUUGCUGUUCAAAAGCUUUUAAGUUUAAUCAGGUCCCACUUGUUUGUUUUUGUUUCCAUUACUUUAGGAGACAGGUCAAAAAAAAUUCCUGCAAUUUAUGUCAAAGAGUAUCCUGCCUGUAUUUUCCUCAGGAGUUUUACAGAAACCAGUCUUACCUUUUGAUCUUUAAUCCAUUUUGCGGUUGUUUUUGUAGGUGGUGCUAGAGAAUGUUCCGAUUUCAUUCUUUUACGUGUAGCUGGCCAUUGUUUCCAGCACCACUUAUUGAAGAGACUGUCUUUUCUCCACUCUACGUUCUUGCCUCCUUUGUUAUAGAUUAAUUAACCAUAAGUGCAUGAGUUUAUUUCUGAGCUCUCUAUCCUGUUCUCAUGAGCUACGUGUCUACUUUUGUGCCAGUACCACACAGUUUUGAUUACUAUAGCUUUGUGGUAUAGUCUGAGGACAGGGAGCCUAGUCCUCCAGCUUUGUUCUUCUUUCUCAAGAUUGUUUUGGUUAUUUGGGAUCUUUUGUGUUUCUAUAAAAAUUUCAAAGAUUUUUGUUGUAGUUCUGUGGAGAAUGCCAUUGGCAAUUUGAUAGGGAUUUCAUUGAAUCUAUAGAUUGCCUUGGGCAGUAUGAUCAUUUUACCAAUAUUGAUUCUUGCAAUCCAAGAACAAGAUAUGUCUUUCCAGCUGUGUGUGUGGUCUUCCAUAUCCCUCAUCAGCAUUUUACAGUUUUCAGAGUACAGGCUCUUUUGCCUCAUUUGGUAUGUUUAUUCCCAGUUAUUUUACUCUUUUUGAUGUGAUGUAAAUGAGAUUGUUUCCUUAAUUUCUUGUUCUGAUAUUUCAUUGUUACUGUAUAGAAAUGCAACAGAUUUUUAUAUGUUAAUUUUGUAUUCUGCAACUUUACUAAAUUCAUUGAUAAGCUCUAGUAGUUUUCUGUUAGCACCUUGAGGAUUUUCUAUGUGUAGUAUCAUGUUAUCUGCAAACAGUGACAGUUUUACUUCUUCCUUUCCAAUUCGGAUUCCUUUUAUUUCCUUUUCUUCUCUGAUUGCUGUGGCUAGGACUGUCAAAACUAUGUUGAGGAGUUCCCAUCCUGGCACAGUGGUUAACGAAUCUGACUAGGAACCAUGAGGUUGUGGGUUCAAUCCCUGGCCUUGCUCAGUGGGUGAAGGAUCCAGUGUUGCUGUGAGCUGUGGUGUAGGCCGCAGACAUGGCCUGGAUCCUGUGUUGCUGUGGCUCUGGUGUGGGCCGGUGGCCACAGCUCCGACUGGACCCCUAGCCUGGGAACCCCCAUAUGCCACGGGAGCAGCCCUAGAAAUGGCAAAAAGACAAAAAAAGAAAAAAAAAGAAAGAAAAAAG
rnacentral:lncRNA from 1 species